GCCGGGGGCUGCCCGGGGCCGCCGGCGUGGGGACAGCCCGGAGGGGCGGAGCCUCCGCCAGGUGACUGAUGGAUGCUUUAAACAGCCCAGAGCUUUAAGAGUACAGUAUAUGCCUACUUUUUUACUCAACUGUUUUCAGUAGGGGCAGCAACUUUUUGUAUUAGCAAUUUAAAAGUUGUGCUUGCUGUAUAAACACUCGGUUUCCCCUCCUCCGGUAGGAUGUUGUAGAAGCACGAUCGGAAACGUGUUAGCUUUGUCUUUUUGGGGAGAAGGCUUGGCCGAGCCGACCCCGCGCCCCGCCUGCGUUUUGUGUGCGGGCCGCCCCCACAGCGGCUGCCGGCGGGGCAGGGGCGGCGCCCGCGGGGACCGGAGCAGCCACCGGAGAGCGGGCCGCUCCGCCUCUGCCCGCCCGGUCAGCCCCUCAGAGAAACUUGGUUUUUAAAAAUUUUUCCUCCUUACCCCCAAAGCCCCCCAGUACAUAGCUGCGUAUCCUAGUUGUGGGUCCUUCUGGCUGUGGCAUGUGGGACGCCGCCUCAGCGUGGCCUGACGUCCGGCGCCGUGUCUGUGCCCAGGAUCCGAACCAGCGAAACCCUGGGCCGCUGCAGCGGGGCCGGACUCAACCACUGGGGAGGGUGGGGGGCUAGAUAAGGUCUUUGUCGCUGGCGCUGCGGCCUGGGCCUCUGAACGCAGCCCGUUGCUAAUUGCUGGCGAUGACAAACGGCCCGGGCUGAGUGGGACCUGCCCCCUCCGCCGAGCUCGCCAGAGGCGCCGGGAGUCAAAGGGCGGCGUCGGGCUUCCUGGACGCUCACGCGGGCUGGAUUCAUGAGGAUGUAAAUGGCUGCAGAUUUACACAAUUAAGUUUUUUUUUACUUCUGAGAGGCAGUGGGCCAAUUUGUGGGUAAGAGGUGGUGCUAUAAGGCAAGGCGAGGCACGCGACCUCUGCCAGUUCCCAGGAAGCAUCCGAGUCUGGCCCAGUGUCCAGAGCUUCAGGAGGGAGCCCAGUGUGAGGCGAGGCCAGCUCCCGGCGUGCGGAGAUGAGUGCCCGGGGCCUCUUUUCCUGCUCACAGCAGGAAAGAGCAGCUAGUCGUGCGAAGGCAGUGUCUGUGCUCGUGAGACGCCCGGCGCAGCCAGGAAGCCGCCUUUCUGCACGUCCGUCCGUCCGUCCGGCUCCAGCUGCCGUGAGCCGCGCUGGGACAGACCCGGCCUUGCUGUGCUGGGCGGGGGUUCGCCGAGGGAACUCGAAACUUCUGCCAGAUACUGACAGACGCUGUGCGUGAAGAAACAUCACUGAGCAAAAUCCGGAUUUUCUAAAUAAAUUCAAAAUUGAAAUCAUGGCUGUGCGUCAUUCUGUACAGUUUGGGAGAUUUUGGUUCUCCGUUCAACCUGUGGGGGAAGGAAGGUCAGGAAGGUCUGUGGAAUACCUCCGUCCAGACAACAGAAGGCUCACAGCUACCUUUUGCUGCCUUCACCUCAACAGCAAGUCCAUAAAUUAAAGUUGCCUUUCAAACCAGUGAUUUGGAUCAUGGUUUCAAUCAUCGCCACUGUUGUGUAACAUUUUCCAGUCACUCCUCAAAUAUAAAUAGUGCAAACAUCAGAGGAGAAUAAGAAGAGUAAACUAUUGGCAUGGGGGAAGUACCAUGAUUGAUUGUAUUAUUAGUUUAACCGAACUUUGUUAAAAGGUAGCACGGGGGUGUGUGUGUGUGUGUGUGUGUGGCGUAGAGGGCCCCGCCCAGCGCCCGGCCCGGGAGGCACCACGACAUACUGGCCCCAGUGAUCUACACGCU
rnacentral:lncRNA from 1 species